UACGAAGGGGGCUAGCGUUGCUCGGAAUCACUGGGCGUAAAGGGUGCGUAGGCGGGUCUUUAAGUCAGGGGUGAAAUCCUGGAGCUCAACUCCAGAACUGCCUUUGAUACUGAGGAUCUUGAGUACGGGAGAGGUGAGUGGAACUGCGAGUGUAGAGGUGAAAUUCGUAGAUAUUCGCAAGAACACCAGUGGCGAAGGCGGCUCACUGGCCCGAUACUGACGCUGAGGCACGAAAGCGUGGGAGCA
rnacentral:rRNA from 1 species